rnacentral:lncRNA from 1 species
UGCUACAUAAUUUGAAGUACAAUAUUAUCCAGAAUUUGGUAUCACAAGUUACGACCUAUCUAAGAAUACUACAAAUAAGGUCUGAAUGGAAAUACAAAAGUCUGUCUCUGAAUAAGUAAAAAUAGAAAGAGAAAAGAUAGGAGGAGACGCCAAGGCCUGUGGAUGUCUGCAGGACUACCUCGGGUCGCCUGAAUGGACUGAAGACAGCACCCUCAUUGUAGUCCAAAUGCUCCGGUAUCAGUAACUGCACACAGUGCAUAGUGUAGUAUCAGCACAACCGACCUCAUGUGCUGGUAAGUGCCUAUCCUAACCUCGGCGAAAUAGUGACGAGGCUAGGACUAGAUUACCAAAUAAACCUGUGCAGUUAAAUCAUAUACAGCGGAAAUAGAAGCAGAUAAUUAUAACUAAAGUUGGGCGGGGGAAACAUGUUGCGGGGAGUAACAGGUAACAACAGAAUAAUAGUAGAGAAAUGUAAGGAACUCCAUAAAUCAAAUACUAGCAAAAGAUAAGAAAAUAAGAAAUAAGUACACAUGUAAUACAGUUGCAAGCGUGCAACCCGAACCCAAAUCAUAUAGUACCGUUGCAGGCGUGCAACCCGCUCCCAUUUUAUAUUGUACCGUUGCAAGCGUGCAACUCGCUCCCAUUUUAUGUAUUACCGUUGUAGGCGUGCAACCCGCACCCAUUUCAUAUGUUACCGUUGCAGGCGUGUAACCCGCUCCCAUUUCAUAUAUUGCCAUUGCAGGCGUGCAACCCGCUCCCUUUUCAAUUAUCAAUACCAAUCAUAAAAGAAUCCCGACAAGGGAACAAUAAUAUAAAAACAACAUCCCGGCAAGGGAACAAUACUAUAAAAACAUCCCGCCAAGGAAACAAUAAUAUGACAACAACAUCCCGGCAAGGGAACAAUAAUAUGACAACAACAUCCCGGAAAGGGAACAAUAAUGAUAAUCCUCAUAUGAAGCACAAUAAACCACAACGGAGCCGCAACAAUUACAAUACAAGACUCACGGACAUUCUUGACACCGACGUAUAGAUACACGCCACUAUGCCUAUACGUCGUACUCCACAAUUAGCACAUAGCAAAUAAGACAUAACUCCUAAUCUCUCAAGCUAAGGUUAGACCAAACACUUAUCUCAAACUUCCACGGCCAACUCAAGCCUCAAACACUAUUUUUCCUUUAGAAUUCGCCUUCAAAUUACGUGUAUCUAGUCCAAAUUAAUUGAGCAACAUCAAUAGAUGCUAAAGAAUUCUUACCCAAUGCUUAAUUAUAGGUUUUCUAAAGUUUUUUUCCAAAAUGUCAAAAAUCGACCCCGGACCCACAUGGUCAAAACCCGAGGUACGAACCAAAACCCGAUUAUCCAAUCCCCCCAUGAAUCCAAAUAUAUAAUUUGUUUUGAAAUCGGACCUCAAACCGAAGUCCAAAUCCCCAAAAUUUGAAAAAACUAGGUUCUACCCAAAUCAUCUAAUUUCUCCCAUGAAAACCUUUGAUUUUAAGUUGAAAUCAUGAGAAAAGAUGUUAAAGAUUAAUAAAAACAAGUUAUAAAUGGCUUACAAUCGAUUUGGAAGAGUACUUGUCUUUGAAAAAUCACCCAAGAGUGUUUUGGUUUGAAAAAUGAGAGAUUUUCGGCUAAGUUAUAAUUUGCACAGGUGCAAAUAUCGCAUUUGCGAAGUUAGGUUCGCAAAUGCGAACUCGCAAAUGCGGCCCAGGCUUCGAAAAUGCGAAAGUAGGCCAAUCCUGUUGUCUUCACAAUUACGAACAAUUGUUCGCAUUUGCGGUCCCUGUUGAAGUCGCAUUUGCGAUAUAAGCCUCGCAAAUGCGAGGGUUCCUGCCCCAGCCCAUCAUCGAAAUUGCGAUGGGUCUCUCGCAAAUGCGAGCUUGCAAAUCCUACGGACCUGCAACACACAACAGUUGAAAAUCUGAAACUUCCUAAGUUCAAAACACUCCGCGGCCUAUCCAAAACUCACCCGAGCCCUCGGGACUCCAAACCAAACAAGUACACUAAUCUAAAAACAUCAUACGGACUUACUCGUACAAUCAAAUCACCAAAAUAACAUCAACAACUACGAAUUAAACCCCAAAUUCAUGAAAUCAUCUGAGAAUACCCAAAAUUCCAAUUUUCUCAACUUUAAGUCCGUUUUAUACCAAAUCAAUCCCGAUCUUUAUCAAAUUUUAUAGAUUCAACCAAAUUAUUAUUUCAAUCUUGUACCGGGCUCCGGAACCAAAAUACGGGCCUGAUACCAUCAAAUUCCAGUAUAUUUCAUUUCCAAAAACUCAUAUAUAUUCCAGAAAAUAAUUUUUCUUUAAAAAUUUAUUUCUCGGGCUAGGGACCUCGGAAUCCGAUUCCGGGCAUAUGCCCAAGUCCUAUAUUUUCCUAUCAGGUUCGUUUACCCAAAAUGUUGACCGAGUCAACUUAAAUUUAUUUUAAUGGAAAAAUUUAUCAUUUUUCACGGACUUUCACAUAAUGGCUUCCGGAUACGCGUCCGGACUGCGCACACAAAUCGAGGUGAGAUAGAAAGAGGUUUUUAAGGCCCCGAAACACAGAAUUUAUUUCUAAAACAAGUGAUGACCUUUUGUAUCAUCACAGUAACAUCUCAAGUAACGGUAAAACAUAUCUAGUAACGGUAAAAACGUUUAGAUUAACUGGUAAACAUCUCAAGUAAACUGUUCGGUACCAUAUCAAGUAAAGGACUUGUCCUACAUGUAAUUUCAAAGCAUCGGUAACAUAUUUAUUUUCAAAAUCAUAUAUAAACCAUGCAGGUUAUGAAAACACAAAUUGUGGUAAGAUUACUACUCACAGUACUCGUGCCGAAAUAUCAAACAUGUUACUUGUGAGCACUUCGUGUGACUUUCUUAGUGACCUAUACGGUUAUAAAAUCAAUCUAAGAAUUAGCUUCUUGAACUACCAAUAUUAUUGAUUCCAAAUAUUGUCAAUUUUAAUCCAUUUUUCUGUUUUCACUCCUCCGGAUAUGACCAUCUAUUCUCUGUUAAUUAAUUGAAUAGUACUUAACUGGAAAGGAAACUGAUUCUUGCUUUUGUGUAUGUCAAUAUAUUUAGAUUGCUAAUACAGGUACUUUGAAUUGCUUGGGAACUCAAUACCUUUGCUAUAUUUUGUCUACUGCUUUGCAGUACUUAGAGCCUCUCCACUAAAGUAACAGAACCAAUAUAUUCAAUACUUAUCAAUUUAGAAUAUUAAAAAUCUAAUCUCAUUCGUAGAUAUUCUCGUAUACAAUUCAAUCAAAACUCACCCUUACAAAGUUACCAAUAUCACCAUUUAGCCACGAAUUUAGAUAUUCCCAUGUUAGAGGAACAAAAAUACCUUGAAACUCGAAUUAACAUUGGUUGAAAGUGGCUCUUUUGCGGCACCAAAUCGCUAGCAACUACAAAAACCUUCUUGAUUUCCUCUUUAUAAUUGUGAACUUGCUGCCAACAACUUUGUUGUUCCUUAGUUUCUAUCCUUUUUGUUUCGUUGGAAAAAUAGUUUUAUUUUCAUUAUCUCAGUACUGUGCCGAAGCUAAGCUUCCU